rfam:Triticum aestivum genome assembly, contig: Triticum_aestivum_CS42_TGACv1_scaffold_236391_3B
UAAAUACUCCCUCCGUCCCAAAAUUCUUGUCUUAAGUUUGUAUAAAUACGGAUGUAUCUAGUUACAUUUUAGUAUUAGAUACAUCCGUAUCUAGACAAAUCUAAGACAAGAAUUUUGGGACGGAAGGAGUAUAAG